AUUGACGCUGCGGCAUGCUUUACACAUGCAAGUCGGCGGCAGCGGGGGUGCUUGCACCUGCCAGCGAGUGCGAACGGGUGAGUAACAUAUCGGAACGUACCGAGCAGUGGGGGAUAACUAAUCGAAAGAUUAGCUAAUACCGCAUAUAUUCUGAGGAAGAAAGCAGGGGACCAUUUGGCCUUGCGCUGUUUGAGCGGCCGAUAUCUGAUUAGCUGGUUGGUGGGGUAAAGGCCUACCAAGGCGACGAUCAGUAGCGGGUCUGAGAGGAUGAUCCGCCACACUGGGACUGAGACACGGCCCAGACUCCUACGGGAGGCAGCAGUGGGGAAUUUUGGACAAUGGGCGCAAGCCUGAUCCAGCCAUGCCGCGUGUCUGAAGAAGGCCUUCGGGUUGUAAAGGACUUUUGUCAGGGAAGAAAAGGACAGGGUUAAUACCCCUGUCUGAUGACGGUACCUGAAGAAUAAGCCCGGCU
rnacentral:rRNA from 1 species